GGGCACCCUUUGAUUUAACUAAUUGCUUCAUGCUCGUAAUGCCCCUAGGCCCAAUUCAAAGCACUACUUGACUAAGACAGACCUGGGUUGCCUGUUAAUACGUCUAAAUUCAAAUGAAAGCUGGCCCAGUACGAAGCUAUUGAACAUGCAAUUCAGAUUAAAACCAAAAUUGAAACCGAUCACGCGUAUUGAACUCAAAGUCAGUUGUAACUUUGCAAAUUUAACUUUAACAGACUACCAAACUGAAAUGAACUGAAAGCUACAGCUAUAUGAAUAUGGAAUGCAACAGUUUAAGCAGUUUGGAAAUGAUUUGAAUCAACCAUCCCUAUUACAGUUCAAUCCAAACGAAUAAGAUAUAUGUAAUCAUUUAUUAGUCAACUGAUUACAGCUACAUACAUCCAACGAGCACAGAUUGACCAAGGUGAUUGCAUUUCAUCCCAAAUUGUGAUUACAUCAAGGUGAUUUUGAAAGUGUACCUGGAAAUUGGAAUGUAAAUAGAGAAGGGGGAGUUAGCAGCAGUAACAACUUAGCAGCAGCUCAAAAAUUAGGAUAAUAAUCCAGUCACAAUCAGUGGAGGAGUAUUAUAGUCCACCCAGGUUCAAAAAUUCAGAAGAAAUGAGUUGAAAUGCAGAGCAAACUCAAUGAAUCAAUCCCAAAACACACUCAGGAAUACCAACCAUCAAAAAUCCUCGAUGAAUGAUUCCAAAUUUUACUUGUUUGAAUUUAGAAACCAUUCGAAAUUAAACCAGGAAAAGUGUUGUGAUUCAGCCAAUAGAACUUCAGAUCUGGAGACUGCAAAAUAUGUUUGGUGGAAUUUUUAGGCUGAAA
rnacentral:lncRNA from 1 species